CGGGAAGUAGCGCAGCCUGGUAGCGCACUACACUGGGGGUGUAGGGGUCGCAGGUUCAAAUCCUGUCUUCCCGACCA
rnacentral:tRNA from 1 species